AAUCAAGCCUGGGCAAUGGCGGGCGCCCCUCCCCCAGCCUCGCUGCCGCCUUGCAGUUUGAUCUCAGACUGCUGUGCUAGCAAUCAGCGAGACUCCCUGGGCAUAGGACCCUACGAGCCAGGUGCGGGAUAUAAUCUCGUGUUGCACCGUUUUUUAAGCCUGUCGGAAAAGCGCAGUAUUCUGGUGGGAGUGACCCGAUUUUCCAGGUGCCGUCCAUCACUCCUUUCUUUGACUCAGAAAGGGAACUCCCUGACCCCUUGCGCUUCCCAAGUGAGGCAAUGCCUCGCCCUGCUUCGGCUCGCGCACGGUGCACGCACCCACUGACCUGCGCCCACUGUCUGGCACUCCCUAGUGAGAUGAACCCGGUACCUCAGAUGGAAAUGCAGAAAUCACCCGUCUUCUGCGUCGCUCACGCUGGGAGCUGUAGACCGGAGCUGUUCCUAUUCGGCCAUCUUGGCUCCUCCCUCUGAAGGCUACAGACACUUAUUGAGCAUCUACUAGAUGCCAAAUUCUGUGCUGCUGCUACAAUCCAUUGAGACUUUAACACCCACAUGGAAUACGCAAUUGGGAGAGAGUGAAGGAGUACUGAAGGCAAACUCAGGGGCUACACUUCACAAAAAUAGGAGAUUUGGAAUUUACAAAGAAGAAGAGGAGAAAGAGGAGGAGGAGGGGAAGGAGGAAGAAAAAGAAGAGGAAAAAGAGUAACAACAACAUAAAGCCAUAAGUCAAAGAAGAGUGUAGGGUUGGAUGAUGUUUUUCAAACAUUUUUGCCUGUGACUUACACUAAGAAAUAUACAUCUACACAGUGACCAGCUAAUGCUCCUCCCAUAAUUCACACACAGAUGACUAAAACAGAAGUUUCACAGAACAAUAUUUAUCUUUCGUGAGGCACGCUGAUAUUUUCUUUUUAAUUUCUAUUCAUUUAUAUUAUUUUCUGUAUUUUUCACUUAAAGACAUGCCAGUUGUGGCCUACUGGAUUGAUUUUCCUGCCCCAGUUGAACACAGACAGGAAUAGAGGUCCUUCGUGCAUGCAUGUGGAUUGUGGUUACUGAAGGGUCACAGGAGACUGCACAGGAGGAGGGGACAACUCACGACAGCAGAGUGGGGGCCACAGAGCCAAGGGCAAGCACGGAGGCCCAGGAAGGAAGGAUGGAAAAGAUGGUGCUGAGAACCUGGAAGUGUCGUAUUGAGAACAGAAAACGUACAGGCCAUUGACUGAACAUUCUGCUUGUUAAUUACAUAUUUUGGGAUUUUGAAGAAAAAGACAAAAUGUGUAAGAAGCAGAUUAAAAUUAGAAACAUGAGCAAGAGUAGGUGGUGGGAAAGUUAAAUGUAAGGAAAUAAACUGUUCCAGGACUUUUUUUUUUUAAAGGCUUUUAUUUCAAGGUCAGAAAAAUGUCACGGAAGGAAAAAAAUUAUUAUUUAUUUAAAAAGAAAACUGAAAUGUAAAAGAUAUGACAGAACUCUUCGGGAGGUAGAGAGAGUGAGGAAGAAAAGUGAGUACAAAGCAGAGAGGAAGAAUAUUGUUGCAGAAAAUCAUUGGUUCUAAUUCCCAAUUUCUGCCCAGCAUUGAUGAGGGAGGUAAGUCAUCUUCUGUGGAGUGUUUUUUUCUGAAAAACAUGGGUAGAUGUAUGUAAAGUAACUAGAAGAAGAGAAAAUACUGUACAAACCUAAAUUCCCAUUUGUUAAGCAGCAGUAAAUCUAAUGUGACUUCAUAGGUUCUUAAGGAUGUGUGAGGAGGAUAAAUAUGUGAGACUAUCUUUUAGAUAAGAAUAAAGAAAUAAAGCAAAUGGUACAUGAUAUGCAAAAAGGAUGGAAUAUUUGACAAUUUAAGGUAAACAUUAAAUGGAAAACACAAAAUUCAAACAGCAGAGGAAGGCUAAGGGAAGACUCCUUUCACUUCUUUUUCCUUCUCCUUUAAUUUUUCGUCUUUAUUUCCUCUCUCCAUCAGACCCUCCUCCUUCUUCUUUCCAUUCCUAUUUUUCUUUCUUCCUGCUUCUCCUUUUUACAAAUUUUUUUUUCAGUGGCAUGAUCUUGGCUCACUGCAACCUCUGCCUCCUGGGUUCAAGCAAUUCUCCUGCCUCAGCCUCCUGAGUAGCUGGGAUUACAGGUACGCGCCAACGCGCCCGGCCAAUUUUUGUAUUUUUAGUAGAGACAGGGUUUUGCCAUGUUGGCCAGGCCAGUAUCAAACUCCUGUCCUCCGGUGGUCUGCCUGCCUCGGCCUCCCAAAAUGCUGGGAUUAUAGGUGUGAGCCACCGGACCUGGCCCUUUUGAAAAGUUUCCAUCAAUGUGUUCAUAAGUGCCCCUUAUCUGUCAGCCAUACAUGCAAACUUAGAGCACAGAGGUUACAGAAGACACAGUUUGGUCCGGAAGAGUGAGACACAUUUGCAAAGUGCCAUUUGAGUGCCCAAACUGAGGAGCACAGGUUUGUAGAAGGUAGAAGCCCCCCUUGCUAAUAACCGAAGGAUAGGUUGGCUCUGAGUAGCCAAGAAGCACAGACAGCGAUCAUUCCUGAAAAGGAAAGAUAAAGGCUACAGAAGUGCAAUUCACUUUUGAAGAAUAGUUUACAUGGACAGAAUUAUAACAUCUAUGUUGGGAAGUUGUAGAUAAAGCCAAAAGGAAAAUUUUGGCCAUUUCUCUUUCUGGUGGUCUUCAGAAUGCCGUGAAGACCCUCUGAGAAAUUUUGAGUAGAAUUUUGACAGGCAUCACCUUUUAAAAUGGAGUUUUAUUUGCCAGAAAGCAAUGUAGAAGACAGAUUGGAAGACUAGAAGACAGUCCGGAGGCCCCAGAGGAAGCUAAUGGUCUGAAAUAACAGCUUAAGAACAAAGAACUGUGAAUAGUUGCUCACCUCUGAAAAAUUCUCGAAGGAAUAGGUGAUCAUUGGGUUGAAGACGAACAGAAGAUGAUAAACUUGGAAGAUAAUAAACUUAAAAGUUAUGCCUUUCUUAUAUGGUAAAAGGACUUUCUCCUGAAAUGCAAUAAACUUGAGAUGACUAGGGGAAUGAACACGCAAUGGAAGCUGGAGAUAGACAUCUGGGAGGCCUCUGUAGGGAUACAAGAGCCAACCUUCUGUAAGAGGGGGAGAAAAAGAAGGAAGAUGUGUGAGCUCCCCCUGGUGCUUUCCCGCAUUCAGGCCAACUGAAAGGAGCUGCAAGGAAACACGUCUACACAGGCAUCAGGAAAAAGAAAAUAUCUGGAUUAUUUCCUUUAAAAAGGCCUGUUUCCAUGCUGAUGGGCCUCAGAGCAAGACUUCCAGGCUUCGGGCCUGAAUUCUGUAUGUCAUCUUAGGAGGAAUUCUUGCCUUGUCAGAGAACGUGUUUCUAAAACAAAAUUUCAAGUGGGGGAUUUGCCAAGCUGUCCUGCGGACAGGAUUACUCUUGGAAUCAAACGGGAUUACUUUUUGUCCAGAAUUGUUCCCUUUGUUAGGCUAGUUAUUCUUUGACUGAAUAAUUUUCACACACUUCUCUUUGUAUGUGUUGACAGCACAAAGAUAUCACAGGAAUCUGGUACCAGCCAAUUUGACUGGUGGUGACUUUAAUUCCAGACAAUAUCUCCUAUCCUAAUAAUAACCUGUAUUCGUAAUGGCCUCUUUAACACUGGGGGUCAGGGACUUCUGUGGACUCCAGUCAUCUGUGAAGAUCGUCGGGGAGAUUUCACUCAGUCUAUUCAGUAUAUCCAGUAUAGUGGCCUGAAACAAUUUAUCAACGUGUAGUCAGUCAGUCCUGCUCUUGGUCCAUACAGUGGAGAGUCUAAAAGAUGUGUGAAAUACAUUCCCUACCUACACAUGGGCAAAUCACUUAAAGGAGCAAACUUUAAUGUUCACUAACAUAGUUAAAAUGGAUGGGCCAACAUUAUCAUGGUUCUUUCACCUCCUAAGUAAAUGCAAAGCUUUUCUUCACUCCAUUUUGUAUGUGUAAUUUUGAUUGAGUGGGAAUCUUGUAAAGCCAAAAAUGGAACUGAAAGCCCACUCAUAAGACCAUAAGUUUUUUUUUUAAUUUUUAAUUUUUCUUUUCAGGCAGGGUAUUGCUGUGUCGCCCAGGCUUGAGUGCAGUGGUGCCAUCAUGGCUCACUGCAACCUCUGCCUCCCAGGAUCAAGCGAUCCUCCCACCUCAGCCUCCUGAGUAGCUGGGACUUACUGUUGUGCACCACCACAGCUGGCUAAUUGUUAGAAUUUUAAUUUUUAUUUUUUUGUAGAGACAAGGUUUUACCAUGUUGUCCAGGCUAGUCUUGAACUCAUGGACUCAGGUUAACCACCUGCCCCAGCCUCCCAGAGUGCUGGGAUUACAGGCAUGAGCCACCACGCCUGGCCAAGACCAUAAAUCUUAAUUAAUCUAGUUCAUAGUCUCAAAUUCAUUCUACUCUCUGAUUUUUAUUUCUCCCAACUUACUGUGUGCACGCACCCCCCCUUUUUAAUGACAUUUCUCUGAUUUGCACUGCCAUCCUCUCUCCUACUUCAGUGAUCCAGCAUCCACAAUUCAUUUUGUCAUAGGUGAGGCUUACCUCUUUCCUGUCAGUUCUUCACCUGUACAGAUUGCUUCCUUUUCUCUUUUUGCACUUAUUGUUUGCAACACCCAAUGACUUCUUGUAGAGAGCCCAAUUCUGUAGUUGAUAAAACCCACACAUGCACGUAUGUUACAUCUGGCUCGGAAUUGGAAGCUCCAUGGAGAAAGGAAAUGGCUUUUGUUUCUUCAGUAUCUUCACACUCCCAAAUGUGCUGAUAUCUUUAGUCGUUCUUAGCUAAAUGAGUCAAUUGAAAUAAUAAUCUGGAGGGAUUUUUUUAAAUCUCAAAAAUUUUCUAAGUCCCAUGUCUCUUAAAUGAAAAAUUGUCAAAUGAAGGAGCCAUUUUCAGGAUUUUAAUUUAUGUAUUAAUGGUACUCUACUUCCACCCCAAAAGGAUUUAAGGUGAGCUUAAAAUAUUAUGAAAAUAAGAUAAGAUUAUUAAUUCCAUCCAUGCAAGCUCUAAAAUCUUCUAUUUCUAGAUACUAAUCUAAACAAUGAAGAGGUUAUUUUUUAAAGACAAAAGGUGUGCUUUAUAAUAUCUCUCAUUAUCAUGUUAAGAAAAAAAACCAAAAACACAGAUAAAAAAUUUCAGAAAUAUUUUUGCGUUUUCUUUGCAUAUCAUACACAUACACACACACACAUACAUACAUACACAGUCACACUAGAACUGUACUGGCAGUGAACAUAGGUUGUUUAAAGUAUAGCUAUUCAACUGUCAUAUAAAGUGAAAUCUAUAUUUUCUCUCUCCCUAUAUGACUAUAUAUUUAACAUCUCUAUGCAUAUGUGUGUGCAUACAUAUGUAUAUGUUAUAUACACACACUCCACAUUAUUAUUUCAAAGGGGAUUUUGCUCCUUCUGGCUACCAGCAAUAACUAGUCAAUAUUUACACUCUUGAAUAUCGAUGACAUCAUGCAUACACAGGAAAGCUGUGGAAAACAUCUCCAUUUUCAAACAGAGUUUUAAUUAUUUGUAAAGACUUCAAUUGUUCACUAAUGUCAUGGAUUGGUCCUCACAGUGUGAAGUGCAACUGCCCAGAUCCCCCACAGUAUUAUAAAUAGUCUUCUAAAGCCGGGUUGAUUGAUGUUUGGCAUAAAACUCUAUUCCUCUGAGCACAUAUAUUCCUUCUGUUCACUAUUUUCAUAGAAAAAUACCAGGGCUGAUUUUUUAUUCAAAUCUCCAAUUUAUGCAGGGUUUAAACUACUAAAUACUUAAAGCCGUUUUCAGAUCUUUCCCCCCUUUUCUGUUAGGUAGGUAACUAAAUCUUUGGCUUCAAUGCAAAUAAGAAUUGGAGAUUUAGCAGAUUCCUGUGGGGGAGAGGAAGAGUUUAUUAAUUAUAUUGAGAAUCAAAUAAUAUGCUUCUUUGACACUAAUGUUCCAUCUUUCUCCACCCCAAGUAUCCUAUGGGACAACUUUAAAGCCUUUAUCAGGGUCUAAAUUACUGCAUUUAUGGUUCCUUAGAAGUAGGAAUUUAAUGAAUGGCAUUCUGAGUUGAAGAGAGAAUUUGAAGGUUUAAGCUGCAACGGUGAAGCAAUUUUUUUCAAAGUAUGUGGCAGGGAUUGUAAUAUAAAACAUCAAAAAAAGCACAAUAAAAUACAUUUUCAUGAGUGUUAAUAGUCCAACAGAAAAUUUUAAGUACCUGUUUAAAGCAAUUUACAAGAUACUGUGGAGAUUCCCAGCAAUAAAGAAUGUACUAUAGUUAAGCUGGAAUCCAACUCCUGAAUUUCUGGAGCCCUGAAGACCACUUAGUCUUACUCACAAGAAUUGAAUGGAAUGUGAAUCUACACUCAGGUGAAGCCAGGGUAUUUUGAACGUCCCUACAAGACUGAAGCACCACUGGGAAAUAAGUAAUAGAGAUGCCAUCAUUGUGGAGGUCAUAAUGCUUGUCCUGAACACGAGGGGUCUCUAGUGAGGCACCAAUUCAGCUCCUCUUCUGUGGAGAGACUACAUGGGUGCUGAAGAAACAAAGACACAACGCAGCUCCUCUCAAAGGAGUUCAGAGCUUAGCAGGGGAGACAGAACCAUGAAUGCAUAGUUACGCAUCAAUGUGCUGCACGAGCACUGAAGCCCAAGCACAAGCGGCCUGAGUCCCAAAAACAUUUGCUGACUGCUGUUCUAUCUAGGAUAUCAUCAGUGUGUAGAUGAUCAGAGUUCAUGUCAGUGUUCCUACAAGCCAAUGAAGCCCACUAGUCUGGAACAAGUCAGUCUCAAACAUAACAACAGACACUGGGGAGCUCUCCAACAAAAGAUCACCUCCCAAAGAACAGGAUGGUGUCGAAGACUGAAUGCCAGCCUGAGGAAACAGAAAUACUACAGAAGCACGCCAGAGCCUGCAGUGUCUCCUCGCUGCCUCUCAAUGAACUGCUAAAAGACCAAGAACUCUGCUGAGAGAUAAGAAGAGGGGAGGGUGUGCUGCAGGUGGUGCUGGGAGGCCCAGACCUUCUCCUGACAUCUGGGGCUGGCUACAGGAAACAGAAACAUCACCCAGGCCUUGGCGCGAGACAGGACAGAGGCAGAUUGUGACUCAGAUCUGCAGGUGGAAAGUGGGCCUUUCGUUUUCUCCUAGGGGUAGAGCAAAGCCAGAGGGCUCAGUCAGAGGAAACCUAAGGCAGUUCAUGAUCCCUUCAACUUUAUACCAUUUCCUCAAAACUGCCUCCAAACAGUGGGCAACUGGAAAGGUGGUCUGACCUCCAGUGAUCACACAGUAUGCAUUAUAACAGAAGGCUGUCACUGUCAAUUGCAUGGCUCCCUCACUAUGCAUUCCUUCUAUCAAUUUACGACAACACACUGUAGUGAGUACCUGCACAUUGCUGGGUAUUUUGGCAGACAUUGAUAGUAGAUGAAUAACACCUGGUACUUGACCUUGAGACGCUCACUGCCUAGUGUGGGGAACCAAUGGUUGCAAUAUAAAGUAUUAACUAGAGGGAUAGAGGACUGCCUGAGGAUCUCUGCACUCAGAGGAAGGGCCAUGAGAUCAGCCAGGACAGUAGGGAGGCAGUGACUCAUGAAAUUAGCAAGUGGUGAGAAGAGGGCAGUAGAUUCAGCGGCUGCUAAAAAAGGUUACUGAACUUUUUGUUUCAUCAAUGCCAAGAAAUUAAUCUGUUUUAGCCUCUUUCAUGGCCUCUGUUUGAAAUUUUUUAACUUUUUUUUUUUUUUUAGAUUUAGGGGUACAAGGACAGUUGUAUUGCAUGAGUAUAUCAUAUAGUGGUGAAGCCUGGGCUUUAAGUGCACCUAUCACCCGAAUAGCGUACAUUGUACCCACUAGGUAGUAUUUCAUUUCUCACCCUUCUUCCACCUUUUGGAAUCUCCAGUGUUUGUUGUUCUACUCUGUAUGCCCAUGUGUACUCAUUGUUUCACUCCCACUUAUAAGUGAGAACAUGUGCUUUUGACUUUCUGUUUCUGAGUUGUUUCACUUAGGAUAAUGCAUGUUCCUGUUUUGAUUCAGUCAAAAUCCUGGGGUCAGCACUGACAAUGUGAUUAACCCCUGUCCUAAAUUCACUGCAGAGGAACUGCUCCCAUAUGACUACUUAUUACCACCCAAGCCAGAAACCACAAAGAUAUUCUGACCUCUCCUCCUUCACUCCCCACCAACUGGUGAGUAAGCUAGUCACCAAGUCUUGAUUCUACUUGCAAACAUCUUUGGAAGGGAUCUCUCACUCCACACAGUCUCUGUCAUUGCCAAGUAUACCCAUUACCUCUGCUCUGUCCUACGGCUCAUCAUUCCUCAUCUACAUGCUGCACCAACCUCCUAACUCCCAUUCCUCCCCCUCCUAGUUCACUGCCAUAGCGUAAUCUUUCUAUAUCACGGAUCAUAUUGUGUCCGAAAUUGGUGGGUUCUUGGCCUCACUUACUUCAAGAAUGAAGCUGCAGACCCUCGUGGUGAGCGUUACAGUUCUUAAAGGUGAUGUGUCUGGAGUUUGUUCCUUCUGAUCAUGUUCGGAGUUUCUUCCUUCUGGUGGGUUCGUGGUCUCGUUGGCUUCAAGAGUGAAGCUGCAAACCUUCAAGGUGAGUGUUACAGCUCUUAAGGCAGCGCAUCUGGAGUUGUUUCUUCCUCC
rnacentral:lncRNA from 10 species